rnacentral:lncRNA from 1 species
AUUGAAUUUUUUUAUCUAUAAUAUUUUCUUCCAUGAUAUCAAGAAAAAUGUUGUUUUGCUUCAAACCACAAUGUGCAAUGUAUAUGUCAUAUAAGUAAUACAUUUCUUUUGCAAUUUGAGACAUAGCAUUAAUUAGAAAAAUAUAAGUUUCUUGUCCAUUUUCUUCAAGCAUCUUGCUUAAAUUUUUUUUGGAUCAAUUCUAUAUCCAAAUAUGAGUGUUUUUUUAAUUUAUAGACAUAUAAUAUUAAUAUCUUUUAUUUACAUUAGUUUCAUUGCAAAAUUAUAUUUUAUCAAGUUGGAAUGGCUUUAACUUGCUAGAAUACUCACAUCUUUCUUAAAAAGUUUCUCAAAUUUAAUAUCUAUCUUUGUAGUCGCACACACAUGUUGCAACCACUUUGACUUAUAAACCUUUCUACUAGC